UAAAAAUUAAAUUGAAAUGUGGUAGAAAAGAAAAGGAAAGAAAAAUGAAAUAAAAAGCCAAUUUUGACAUAAUGUGAUGUCAUUAACAUACCCCCAACCAAUCAAAAUUUGACAAGCCUUCUUAAACCACUUAAAAGAGUCAAAAUGAAGACCAAAAUCACUAAAAUUUCCAGCAGCCCUCACCUUCACAAAUGCUCACCCGUAGCUCUCAAAUCCCAUAGCCAAACUUCCAUUGAUUUUCAACCAAAGCUCACUUUCUCUCUUCUUUUCACCAUAAACCCUAAACCCCUUUCAUUAAAAGUUGUCCACUCAUCUUAGGGAAGUGUUUGGCAGCCUAGAAAGUGAAGGAAAGUGAAGUUUUGAGUGGGGAAAAAUCUGCCCUAAUCAAGGUACUGGAGACCCCGAUCGUGAGCCCAGUAGACCACAGACUGGGUGAGGCCAUCCGACAGUUCUGCUCAGUGUCCGUGUCACCUCACUACCUGCAGUGCAUCGGUAGGGCACUAGAUGCCAUUUUGUCAUCUUGUAAUUAACUUUUUAUUUUCUCAUAUGUAUUUAGGAUUUAUGUAAUGUAUUUUGAGGUUCAUGUAAAUAAUAAAGAUUUAUGGUUAUGUAUGGUAUUAAUUUGAGUAUUUAAUGGUUGUUUAUAUAUGAGAACCCUGAGAAAGGGAUGUUUUGAAAACUGAAAAGGUUGUUGAGACCUGAAAUUGACAAAUUACCGAGAUAUUGAUAUUGAGUUUUAUUGAUGA